GAUCAAUUCACAAAUGGUGUCCAGGGCACAGCUGGGAGCUGACGGGGGGUCGGUAGCAGGCGGCAACAGUGAGAGACUUGUUUCUGGAGAGAGUAAUUUUCAAAAUUAGUAGUUCAAACUGUUUGGGUAUGGACCUGGAAAGUAUGACAUUACUUUGCAGGCUAUCUCUGCAGUAGACUGCGACUCCGCCCCCUUUGGCAGUUCUAUCUUGACGGAAGAUGUUAUAGUUGGGUAUGGAAAUCUCUGAAUUUUUGGUGGCCUUCCUGAGCCAGGAUUCAGACACGGCAAGGACAUCAGGGUUAGCAGAGUGUGCUAAAGCAGUGAGUAAAACAAACUUAGGGAGGAGGCUUCUGAUGUUGACAUGCAUAAAACCAAGACUUUUUCGAUCACAGAAGUCAACAAAUGAGGGUACCUGGGGGCAUGCAGGGCCUGGGUUUACCUCCACAUCACCCGCGGAACAGAGAAGGAGUAGUAUGAGGGUGCGGCUAAAGGCUAUCAAAACUGGUCGCCUAGAGCGUUGGGGGCAGAGGAUAAGAGGAGCAGGUUUCUGGGCUAAAAUCUCUACAACAAUAGUUGACAUUUCGCGAAUGAGUUUGUUGUCCAGUCCCUGUCAGGGGCUUUGAAGAUUGAUUUCAUCUUCAACCUGCGGGUGCAGUCAAAAGGGCGAAUCAAUCUCUGAAAAUGUAAUUGGUUAAGCUAAUUGGUGAAACAAGCCUGACAUGGGUGAAAGUGCUUCCAUUGGUACUGAUGAGUAUGAAGGCAGAUCCCAUAUGGUCACUGGUCUCUCUCCACACAAGGUGCUGACUGGCCGUCCUAUGCAAAUGACAAAUGCACCUUUCACCCAGAACAGGUUGUUCCUUCAAGGGAUGGAGGAAGACAUGGUUGAGUAUUGUGUCACCCUUAGCAGUGUUCUCAAGACUCUCUUUCCUCAAAUGAAGGCAUCUUUGCCGAACAUGGCAGGUGGAGCUGAGCACUGUUUGAGCCCAGAGGAUUUUGUGGUGGUCAAGGACUUCAGGAGAAAGAGUUGGAAGGACUCCCAUUGGAGAGGGCCGUACCAAGUUCUUCUGGGUUGCUGAGAGAGAUACCUGGAUCCACGUGUCACACUGCAGACGAGUUCCUGAUCUAGGAGAAGAUAGGGCUUUGCCAGUUCCGGUGGUGCAGUAUGGCCCUCCUCUGCAUUAGUACAGGAGUGCUAAUAAGAAUAGUAGGUUGUCCUCUUGUGGGAAACCUGGCAGAGGGUCCCGAGCCAAAAGGGCCAACGCCGGUCCGGAGUAGUGGCCCAGAAGUAGAUGGGCAUUGUAGAAGGAGUCCUGAGCCAAAGGGGCCAAUGCAGGUCCAGGGCAUUGACCCAGAAGUAGGAGGAGAGCCCUGCUGGGCCCUCAUAACCAUGAGGACAAUCUGUUCUUCUCUAGAGCAGAAAUGUUUGCUAAUCUUACAUUUGGACAAAGAGCGUUGUUAAAAAAAACAUUUAUUGGUCUCAUACACAUGGUUAGGAGAUGAAAGUGUGGCGUAAUGGUUGGACUUCUAGUUCCGUCAGUGCAGUAAAAUCUAACAAGUAAUCUAACAAAUUCACAACGACUACCUUAUACACACAAAUGCAAUGGGAUGAAUAUGUACAUACAUAUAAAUAUAUGGAUGAGCGUUGGCCAUGCAGCAUAGGCAAGAUGCAGUAGAUGGUAUAGAACACAGUAUUAGAUGAGUAAUGUAGGAUAUGUAAACAUUAUAUAAAGUUCCAUUAUUUAAGUGACUAGUGACACAUUUAAAGUUGAAGUCAGAUGUUUACAUACACCUUAGCCAAAUACAUUUAAACUAAGUUUUUCACAAUUCCUGACAUUUAAUCCUAGUAAAAAUUCCCUGUUUUAGGUCAGUUAUGAUCACCACUGUGAAAUGUCAGAAUAAUAGUAGAGAUAGUGAUUUAUUUCAGCUUUUAUUUAUUUCAUUCAAUUCCCAGUGGGUCAGAAGUUAAUAUACACUCAAUUAGUAUGCUGUAGCAUUGCCUUUAAAUAGUUUAACUUGGGUCAAAUGUUUCGGGUAGCCUUCCACAAGUUUCCCACAAUAAGUUGGGUGAAUUUUGGCCCAUUCCUCCUGACAGAGCUGGUGUAGCUGAGUCAGGUUUGUAGGCCUCCUUGCUUCCAAACACCUUUUCAGUUCUGCCCACAAAUUUUCUAUAGGAUUGAGGUCAGGGCUUUGUGAUGGCCACUCCAAUACCUUGACUUUGUUGUCCUUAAGCCAUUUUGCCACAACUUUGGAAAUAUGCUUGGGGUCAUUGUCCAUUUGGAAGACACAUUUACGACCAAGCUUUAACUUCCUGACUGAUGUCUUGAGAUGUUGCUUCAAUAUAUCCACGUAAUUUGCCAUCCUUAUGGUGUCAUCUAUUUUGUGAAGUGCACCAGUCCCUCCUGCAGCAAAGCACCCCCACAACAUGAUGCUGCCACCCCAGUGCUUCACGGUUGGAAUGGUGUUUUUCGGCUUGCAAGCCUCCCACUUUUCCUCCAAACAUAACGAUGGUCAUUAUGGCCAAACAAUCCUAUUUUUGUUUCAUCAGACCAGAGGACAUUUCUCCAAAAAGUACAAUCUUCAUCCCCAUGUGCAGUUGCAAACCGUAGUCUGGAUUUUUUAUGGCGGUUUUGGAGCAGUGGCUUCAUCCUUGCUGAGCGGCCGUUCAGGUUAUGUCGAUAUAGGACUUGUUUUACUGUGGAUAUAGAUACUUUUGUACCUGUUUCCUCCAGCAUCUUCACAGGGUCCUUUGCUGUUGUUCUGGGAUUGAUUUGCACUUUUCGCACCAAAGUACGUUAAUCUCUAGGAGACAGAACGUGCCUCCUUCCUGAGCGGUAUGACGGCUGUGUGGUCCCAUGGUGUUUAUACUUGCAUACUAUUGUUUGUACAGAUGAACGUGGUACCUUCAGGCAUUUGGAAAUUCCUCCCAAGGAUGAACCAGACAUGUGGAGGUCUACAAUUUUUUUCCUGAGGUCUUUGCUGAUUUCUUUUGAUUUUCCCAAAGAGGCACUGAGUUUCAUGCACAAAGUAGACGUCCUAACCGACUUGCCAAAACUAUAGUUUGUUAACCUCUCUGUGCACGGAACCCACUAGCGGGCUGAAAUUCCACAACAUACGGUGAUCGCGACAUAAAUAGUCAUAUUAGACAUUCAUGAAAAUACAAGUGUCUCACAUGUAUCAAAAGCCUAGAAUCUUGCUAAUCUAACUGCGUUGUCAGAUAUUAAAAAAGGAUUUACUGCGAAAGAAUACGAUGCGAUUAUCUGAGCAUAGAGCCCCAUAAAAAAAUAUAUAUUUUAACCAGCACAGGCGUAACAUAAUCACAAACUGCAUUAAAAUAAAUCGUUUACCUUUGACGAUUUCCGUCUGUUUGCAAUCCCAAUGCUCAUUGUUACACAAUGAAUGAUCUUUUGUUUGAUAAAAUCCGUUUUUAUAGCCUAACAUGAAACAUUUUGUGAACCGCUUGUGUCGUGAAUUCCGUCUCAUUUAAUUUUCGACAACAUAAUCCAGGUAAAUAACCCACACAGAACGUGACUUUUCCAGUCAUGUUUGGUUUCACUGCAAUCAACUAGUUUUUUUGUAACACAAUCAAACCUGAUGGGCAAUUUCACGGGACGUAUUGACUGAAAGAAACCGAUUUGAAGACAACAAGUCAUGACAUCUGUCACGCCCUGGUCUAAGUAUUUUGUGUUUUUCUUCAUGUAUUGGGUCAGGCCAGGGUGUGGCAUGGAGUUUUUGUAUUGUGGUGUGUUUUGUCUUGGGGUUUUGGUGUGUAUGUAUUUGGGAUUGUAGCUAGUGGGGUUAUCUAGCAAAGUCUAUGCCUGUCUGGAGUGGUUCUCAAUCAGAGGCAGGUGCUUAUCGUUGUCUCUGAUUGGGAACCAUAUUUAGGCAGCCAUAUUCUUUGAGUUUGUCGUGGGUGAUUGUCCUGAGUGUCUUGACGUCCUUAUUCUGUGUUAGUUUGCACCAGUUUAGGCUGUUUCGGUUUUCAUUACGUUUAUUGUUUUGUAGAGUUUGUGUUUUGGAUUCGUGUUACGUUUGUUUUAUUAAACAUGGAUCACAAUAUACACGCUGCAGUUUGGUCCGACUCUCCUUCACCAUUAGAAAACCGUGACAACAUCAUUGUGCACCAAUGAUUUGCCUGCUGUUUCGUUGAUUGACUGUAUUUUAACCCAAUGACCACUGAUCGUCUUGAAAUCUAGCUGGGUAGAUAGCCAAUGAGCUGAGCUAAACGGCAAUAGGUCAUGUUUAUGUGUUGCAAGACCAACCCAUGUAGUAAGCUCCAGCGUAACGAGAGUCAUAAGCUAUUGAAGUUUCAUACCAGAAGGAGAAACCCAUAUUACGCACUGCAUUGUUUGGUGAACGCGCAGAUUCAGCUGUUUAUAUAUCAAUCAUUAUGGCGACUAAGUCAGGGAAAGCUAAAUCUAAGUAUAGAUAUACAGAUGUACACACAAUUUUUGAAUACAUUGAUUGGGAAGGUGAGACAGAGAUUGUUGUAGGACGAAUCAUUUAGCGAUUGUGGAGGAAUAUUUUUUGAACGGGAGAGGACAUUGUUUUGGACUGGACCUGAGCCCUGGGACCAUGCAUCAGGACUACCUGGCAUGAUGACUCCUUGCUGUCCCCAGUCCACCUGGCCUUGCCGCUGUUCCAGUAUCAACUGUUCUGCCUGCGGCUAUGGAACCCUAAACUGUUCAUUUUUACUCUUGAGGUGCUGUCCUGUUGCACCCUCUACAACCACUGUGAUCUCCACCCGGCACAGCCAGAAGAGGACUGGCCACCCCUCAUAGCCUGGUUCCUCUCUAGGUUUCUUCCUAGGUUUUUGCCUUUCUAGGGAGUUUUUCCUAGCCACCGUGCUUCUACACCUGCAUUGCUUGCUGUUUGGGGUUUUAGGCUGGGGCUAUAUAAAUAGAUUUGAUUUGAUAGAGGACUGAGGGCCUUCCAAAUAUUGAAAGUGUGUAAAUAGUUACCCAUGUUAUUUUGUAAAUGUAUAUAUAUAUAUUUUUUCAUAUAUUUUUUAAUCAAUAAUUUUUUCCCCCCAUUUGUUUUGGUCCAUUUUUUGGGGGGAUGUGUGUUAGAAUACCAUUUUGGUAUUUUGUAUAUGGUUAUUUGUUUCAAAAUGUAUACCUUCACCAAUUUGGCCACUUGGGUACAUUUGGGCUACUUGUGUGGGACACCUGGGUGACUUCAUGAUAAAUGUCAUGUAGCACACUCCUUUUGGAAGUUAUCAUUCUGAAACUUUGCACAAGUACUGUUGCCCUCUUCUAUGUCUCACUGAAAUUGUCCCCAUCAUCCUACCCGAAUGUUUGUUUUAUCUUGUUCAUUUUAAAGAUGAUGAUAUAAAAAUAAAAAACAUGUUUUCUUUCA